rnacentral:rRNA from 1 species
UACAGAGGGUGCAAGCGUUAAUCGGAAUUACUGGGCGUAAAGGGCGCGUAGGCGGUUAUUUAAGUUGGAUGUGAAAUCCCUGGGCUUAACCUAGGAACUGCAUUCAAUACUGGAUAACUGGAGUGCAGUAGAGGGUAGUGGAAUUUCCGGUGUAGCGGUGAAAUGCGUAGAUAUCGGAAGGAACACCAGUGGCGAAGGCGGCUACUUGGACUGACACUGACGCUGAGGCGCGAGAGCGUGGGGAGCAAACAGG